UUAGUAUGGCCCAGGGACAAGAUGACACACAAAUCCAUGGAGAUAUCAGAUGUUCUGCAGCUAGAUGUGUUUGUGAUUUGGGCUGCAAACACAAAGGUUGGAAGUUCAAUCUCCAGGAUGUCUGUACCUGUAAUUGAUAUGUGUCUGAUAAAGCACCCUGCAGAGAGGCAGACGUCCUGACUCCACUGCUGGAAGGGUGUGUUUAGGUGUGUUCAUAAGACACAAAGGAGACGUCUUGAUGCGGAAGACUACAACUGUGUUUCCCCUUGCUUGGGUGUAUUGUGUAUGCUGUGCGUCACUGGACCUCACAGAGAUGUCAUCUCCAUCCAGACGUUGUUAUGGUUUCUGUGUUUGGAUUUUACGUUAUCACGCGGAUGCUGUUGCUGGGAUAUUGUUGCCUGGAUACCAUUGUUUCCAUGUGUGGCCUGUAUCUUUCCGUGGUCAGAUGAGACUACUACAAUUGUGACGUCAAGUUCCAGCCAAUCAGCACGCAGGAUGAGCUGAGGGGUGCAAGAGGCCAGUUGCUGUAAAGCCUUGUUAGACCUGUCCUGAUGAAGUACCAUGCAGCCUGAAGCUGGAACUCCAGAUGGGAUCAAGGAGUCAACUGCACCGGAUCUUUACUAAUGCUGAAGGAAAUACAUGAGUCAUCCUGCUGGACCUCCACAGCAGCUGACAUCCUUGUCUGAUGGACAGAGUGAUAAAAGAAGAUGAUUUUGUCAAGUUGGCUCUCGAAUAAAAGGAUCCAGUCUGUUAUUGUGAAUCAGACAGCUCUCACAGUCAAGAUGGGAAAUGCAUUUUCUCCUUAUCUGUAAUUUGUGAAAUUGCCUCUAUAUGGCAUUUUAUCUUUCUGUCAUCUCCAAAAAGAAGAAAAUAUUUUUCUGUUUUUGUGUGCGUGUGAUUCAGAAAUCAUUGAUGUAGGUUUAGAGCUAUGAGUCAUAUAGUCUACACAAGGUUAGUCAUCCACACUAAUCGAGUAAAUGACCACUGAGAUUUCACUAAAUUAUUUUGCCAGCUGUGUUUGCAUGAUGAACAAAAAUGAGUCCCUACACAGUGCCAGGCUACUUGAAACUGUCAAUUCAUAAACAACACUCAAUUAAUUAAUAUUGUGACAGUUUAGUCACUGUUUUUUGCUUGUCUGUUUAUUAACUCUUUUAUGCUCUUUAUUUAAUUUUAUUUUAUUUUUGGUUAAUUUAAUUAGAUUUAUAUUAAUAAUACAUUUACAUUUAUGCAUUUGGCAGACGUUUUUAGUGCAUUCCAAGUUUCAUUCAAGUUAUACAUUUGAUUAGUUCAUGCAUUCCCUGGGACUCAAACCUGUGACCUUUGCGUUGCAAGCGUUACUGUUUGAUGUACAGAAGUGCAUUUUUUAAUUGGAUUUUUUUUAAUACAAUACAGUAUACAAUGUAAAUAUUUAUUGUAUUUACACUUAUUUUAUAUUUUAUUGAU